rnacentral:sRNA from 1 species
CCAUAGCCCCGAUAGAAGUGGAAAUCCUUUUUCUGGCUUCUUUAGCCAGGAAAAGAUUGAAACGAAUAGCGGGAAACAGC